rnacentral:lncRNA from 1 species
UGAUUGGAGGUCAUUGGGAAACACUGUGGGUCUUCUCUGUCUGGCCUUGAAGGUAGGUUGUAAAUGUAUGAAACAAAAUUGUGGCUGGAUGAAGAAGGUGGCAAAGGUAUAUAAAUCAUGUGUUACAGAAAUCCAGAUUUAUCAUCCUAGAGCAACUGUUCUUACUUUUGACUGCAUAUCAAAAUCAAAUGGGGAGAGUUUGUUGCAUUUGCUAGUGGUUUUGAAUUUCUAUUUUGAAACUUUUGUUUUCAAAGUUUUAACCUCAAAUGCAUUAAUAAAGAAAGUAAAUAAGAGGAAUCCA